UACGUAGGGUGCAAGCGUUAUCCGGAAUUAUUGGGCGUAAAGAGCUCGUAGGCGGUUUGUCGCGUCUGCUGUGAAAACUGGGGGCUCAACCCCCAGCCUGCAGUGGGUACGGGCAGACUAGAGUGCGGUAGGGGAGAUUGGAAUUCCUGGUGUAGCGGUGGAAUGCGCAGAUAUCAGGAGGAACACCGAUGGCGAAGGCAGAUCUCUGGGCCGUAACUGACGCUGAGGAGCGAAAGCAUGGGGAGCGAACAGG
rnacentral:rRNA from 2 species